rnacentral:rRNA from 1 species
GACGAACGCUGGCGGCGUGCUUAACACAUGCAAGUCGAACGGUGAUGCCCCAGCUUGCUGGAGUGGAUCAGUGGCGAACGGGUGAGUAACACGUGAGCAACCUGCCCCAGACUCUGGAAUAAGCGCUGGAAACGGCGGCUAAUACUGGAUACGAAACUGGCCCGCAUGGGCAUGGUUUGGAAAGUUCUUCGGUUUGGGAUGGGCUCGCGGCCUAUCAGCUUGUUGGUGAGGUAAUGGCUCACCAAGGCGACGACGGGUAGCCGGCCUGAGAGGGCGACCGGCCACACUGGGACUGAGACACGGCCCAGACUCCUACGGGAGGCAGCAGUGGGGAAUAUUGCACAAUGGGCGAAAGCCUGAUGCAGCGACGCCGCGUGAGGGAUGACGGCCUUCGGGUUGUAAACCUCUUUCAGCAGGGAAGAAGCGAAAGUGACGGUACCUGCAGAAGAAGCACCGGCUAACUACGUG